UAAGUUUGCCUCUUGAAAUUACAGUGUUUUCCUAAUCAUGUUGUACACAUUAGUCCAAAGUAAAGAUAUUGAUCUUAUUGUAAGCAAUCAAUUCUUUUUUUGGACCAUUCUUGAACUGCUUUUAUUAUUAUAGGAUUAUAUAAGAAACUGCUGACUUGGGUGUCCUGCCAAGAAGAUUAUCAAUCUCCAGCACCUCCUUGUAUUUCCUUCUGCUUUCUAUGACAGUAUUACUUUUUUGAGAUUCCAGGGAUACAUGUGCAAGUUUGUUACCUGGUAUAUUGUGUGAUGCUGGGCUUAGGAUUCAAAUGAUUCCAUCACCCAGGUCAUCGUCCACUCAACCUGCCAGUGCAUCUAGAUGACUCAUACAUUUAUGCUCUUCUGCCCAUUUCAUCUGGAUUCCUGAAGUCCAUGAAAAUUUCAUCUUAGAGUCUACAUUUGGGCUUUUCCUUGACCAUAACCUCUUAUCUGGCUUGGUAACUACCUGUCAUAGAAGAUCUCUCAAAUGACCUCAUCUCCAGGUUUGCUGUGUCCUUUUGUAGCUCACCACAUGGUAUAAAAUUUUCUUCUCCUCCUAUACAUGAACAUUAUACUGUAGGGUUGUGACUGUGCCACUCUUAAGAUUUGUCCUGUGCCAGGAGCAUGACUUGGCAUGACUCAGAGAAUAGGCUAUUGCCAUGUUUGACACUGGGCCUCCCAGCAGAUAUAACAGGAUUCUGCAAGAUUGUAUUCUAAUUUCAACUCAUUUAAGACCUAAAUCCUUAAAUGGCAGCUCUGUGGCAAGUAGAGGAAAAAUGUAACUUCUUUUCUUGUGUCACUCAGGAAGGUACAUGUAUUUCUGGUUUGGAAAAAAAUGGAAUUUACAAGACUAUAAUGACAUACAUAAUCAUAGCAUGCCAACUUGUCUAAAGAGAAAUCAAAAGGCCUUCAUUGUUGCAUGAAGCAGAGAGAGAAAGUGUGAAGCGAUAUUACACUAUUUCCAUCUCAACUAGAAAAUAAGAUUGCAUUGAUUGUUGAGGUUACUCACUUCAGUAUUGUUAGUGAGUAGCUUUCCUCAAAGAUUAGCUCGAGUUAUGAAAACCAUUGCCUUUCUGAAGUGGUGAUGAUAAGAGAUGGUCAUGCUAAAUAGGAUGAGAGCUACUUACCUAGCUCUUUUAUAGCAUGUUCCAUAUUCCUUAUCACUUGCUUUAAUAACAUCUAAGGAACAAAAGAAAUGUUAUCCCCAUUGGAAAAACAGACUGUUAUAAAAUGUCCUUACAUUUGCAACUGAUGGAUUUUUAACCUAAGUUAAUAGUUUUAAGAGAAGUAGGAUGAAGAGGUUUUCAAGGGUUCGAAUUGAAUUUUGUGCUGCAGCACUUUUUGCUUCAGCUAAAGUAAUAGAGAAGAUAAGAGGUAUAACCUAGCCCAAUUUUGAGACAUCUGAAGGUGAGUCAUGAUUCUGAAAAGUGCAGGCAUGGUAUUAAUUCCUAAUAUAAUUUGGAUGUUUGUAAUAUGAAACGUUAUAAAACUUAAUUUGUCAAAGGGAGCUAAAAUUUAAGAUACAAACAUUAGCCCAACAGAAAAUUGUAGCCAUAAAACUAGUAAACUGAUUUUAGUCUAUGUUUUAUGAACAUAGGUAGGUACUUUCCCAUUCGGCUUUAUGAGAGCCCCCAGAUUUGUGAUUCCAGGAUGGCUUGCAAUCUUAAGGGAUUAGAAAUUUUGGCCAAGGUGAACGAAAGUAGAAAUUAGGGAUAAUAAGACAAUAUUUUAGGGACUCAAGUCUUUUCAUAUUUUCUCCUGUGUGUCUCCAAAUUCAAGUGCUAAAUAUCAGUGGUUAGAAAAGGUAAUAAAAGAUAAGAAAAUAGUUUUAAAGUUGCAGGAGGUGAAGAGAGGAAGAUACUACUUUUUGUGUUCUACCACAUAUUGAAUGUUCAGUUUCUCAAUGACAAAGUUUUGGGCACAUAAAAUAUAGCAUUGAGAUGUUUUAAAUCGUCUUGAAAAGUAAAUAUUGCAUUCCACAUAGCUGACAAACUUAUGGGCACAUAUCAGUUUUAAUCUGUCUCAAUCUAGAAAGUAAAAAUAAUAUCUAGAAUUUAGGCCUUAGAAUUAUCUUUCCUGCUUACUCACUAUGGAACUUUGGGCACAAUCAUUUAACCUCUCUUGGCCUCCUUUUUCUCAUCUGCAUAAUGACAAAAUCAAACUAGGUUUCCCUCUAUUUUAAUUAUUGUUUUCUUUACUUCUUUCUAUUUGCUGAAUCACUUGUUUUUAUUUCUUUACUGUUUAAUGUGUAGAAAACAAAGAUAGAGAGAGAUGAAAGAAGCUUUUGGGCAUUAUGAGGAAGCCCUGUUUUCUCCACCCUGCCUUCACUUCUCACCUUCCAGUACUUCCUAUUUUACACACCCAUAGCCUGACAGAUCUUAGAGCUUGCAUUGGGAGAAAGCUAACCACUGCACGUGGGUUUCGUGAUAGCCUCCACAAAGACAGAAGUGUGCCUUAUAGGAGCCUUGUAACUUGCUAAUAUGGCACAGUUCAUUUCAGAAGGAGGCAUUUGAGUAAUUCAAAUGUAACCUAGUUUAAGUUUUUAAAGAAAUUAAUUAGAAAACCAGGAGUCAAAGACAUCUGCAUAUAUGAACAGAAAAAAUGAUGGAUGAGGGCAACUGAGGGCUGAGUGAACUCUUUUCUUAGGAUUUAAGGUUUUCUUACCUGUUUAAUCUGUUUAGAACUUGUAAUCUGAUCAAUUACGGUCAUUAUG